rnacentral:lncRNA from 1 species
CCCAGGCAGAGGAGGCGCCGAGAGCGAGCCAAGGCUGUGAGGACUGCCAGCACGCUGUCACCUCUCAAGAGUAUGAGAGAAAAGGACUUCCAAGAACCCAUUUCCACAGUUAUUGAAUAAGAGUUGAUAGAGCUCCAUACAGAUUAGAACAGAUCCAGGACCAGACACAGUGGCACACACGUACAAUCCCAGCACUUUCGGAGGCAGAGGUGGGUGAUCACUUGAUCGAGACCAGCUUGGGCAACAUGUAAUGUCUGGAAUAAAUCAUAAUAACCAGUGAAUUGAAGAACAUCUGAAAAUGAUAUCAACUUUGGGCCAUAAGUCUUUCUGGAAGAAAAGUCCUGUUUGCGAAUUCUUCAAGUAUUAUGAAGAUGAAUUAAAAGCUACUUAAAAAUUACAUGAUGAAUAAAAACUCCAAAAUCAUGAGUGACUACACCUAUGGUAAAUCAUCUUCAGA